rnacentral:rRNA from 2 species
UCGUAUAAAGUUCUAGAUAGUUACUGAUCAUGACAAUUUCUAUCUAUAUGUCUUGACCAAAUCUUGUGCCAGCAGUCGCGGUAAGACAAGAAAGACUAGUGUUAUUCAUCUUUAUUAGGUUUAAAGGGUACCUAGACUGUCGUUAUUGCCUUUGAGGUACGUAGCUGACUAGAGUUUUAUGUAAAAGAAUUGUACAUUUAGUGGAGUGAUAAAAUACUUUGAUACUUUGUAGACAGGUAAUAGCGAAGGCUAUUCUUUAUGUUUUAACUGACGUUGAGGGACGAAGGCAUUGUGUAAUAAAGAGGAUUAGAUACCCUCGUAAUCUUUGCAGAAAAUGAUGAGUGUUAUAUAUAAAUGAAAGUGUAAGCACUCCACCUCAAGAGUAAUGCGGCAACGCAGGAACUGAAAUCAUUAGACCGUUUCUGAAACCAGUAGUGAAGUAUGUUAUUUAAUUCGAUGAUCCUCGAAUAACCUUACCAUACAAGCGUUGCACGGCUGUCUACAGUUAAUGUUGUGAAAGGUGGUUAGAUCCAGUAAUUAGCGUAAACCC